rnacentral:rRNA from 1 species
AACGAACGCUGGCGGCAUGCCUAACACAUGCAAGUCGAACGAGACCUUCGGGUCUAGUGGCGCACGGGUGCGUAACGCGUGGGAACCUGCCCUUAGGUUCGGAAUAACUCCCCGAAAGGGGUGCUAAUACCGGAUAAUGUCUUCGGACCAAAGAUUUAUCGCCUUUGGAUGGGCCCGCGUUGGAUUAGCUAGUUGGUAGGGUAAAAGCCUACCAAGGCGACGAUCCAUAGCUGGUCUGAGAGGAUGAUCAGCCACACUGGAACUGAGACACGGCCCAGACUCCUACGGGAGGCAGCAGUGGGGAAUAUUGGACAAUGGGCGAAAGCCUGAUCCAGCAAUGCCGCGUGAGUGAUGAAGGCCUUAGGGUUGUAAAGCUCUUUUACCCGGGAUGAUAAUGACAGUACCGGGAGAAUAAGCUCUGGCUAACUCCGUG